AACGAACGCUGGCGGCAGGCCUAACACAUGCAAGUCGAACGCCCCGCAAGGGGAGUGGCAGACGGGUGAGUAACGCGUGGGAACCUUCCCAAAGGUGCGGAAUAGCUCAGGGAAACUUGGGGUAAUACCGCAUAAUGCCGAGAGGCCAAAGAUUUAUCGCCGUUGGAUGGGCCCGCGUCGGAUUAGCUAGUUGGUGAGGUAACGGCUCACCAAGGCGACGAUCCGUAGCUGGGUUGAGAGAAUUACCAGCCACACUGGGCCUGAGACACGGCCCAGACUCCUACGUGAGGCAGCAGUGGGGAAUCUUGGACAAUGGGCGCAAGCCUGAUCCAGCCAUGCCGCGUGAGUGACGAAGGCCUUAGGGUUGUAAAGCUCUUUUGCCGGGGACGAUAAUGACGGUACCCGGAGAAUAAGUCCCGGCUAACUUCGUGCCAGCCGCCGCCGUAA
rnacentral:rRNA from 1 species